rnacentral:rRNA from 1 species
CUUUUGUUGCGAAAAGGGCUUGGAGAAUUGAGCAAGUCCCUAUACUAGGCUGGGCAAAGCCCCUCUCUUUUAUAUACUUGCCUAUAUAAUGAUAAUACAAUAAUUUCUAUUCUAAGUAGGUUCCUAUUUUGAGAGUUAUUAAAGUAUUGUAUAUAAGUAUAGAAUUCGACAGAUAAGCCCGUUCUCUAGGGUGGAAACACUGUAUUAGAAUACACCAAAACUCAAUGAACUAAAAGAUUUUACUAGUUGAAGGAAAAGAAACCAACCGGGAUUGCGUUAGUAGUACAGAGCGAAAGCGCAUAAGCUUAAUGAAAUAUUUUUUGUUUACGGUCGAACUUAAGUGAAAUCCAGACCAGAGAAAGUUAUAGUCUUGUAGGUUGUAAACAAAAAAAAGUGCUGUAAUUAUUUAUAAGCAUGCUACUAUUUAUUAUAAUAUAAUAUCUUUGAAAAAUACAUUACAUAAUAAGGUAAUAAAUGGACUUUAAGAAUUAAAUUAGUGGUUUAACGCUGCUAGUUAUAAACGGAAACCACUCCGUUGGCUAAAUAUUCUAUGUAGAUCGAUAGUGAAUCAGUACUGUAAAGGAAUUUGGAAACAAGAAUGCCAUUGCUUCUCUGAAUACAAGUCCCGAAACAGGUUGCUUAUAAUGACUUUCAGUUUGGCUGUUAUAGUGUUGAAUAGAAAGGUUCCUUUUGAAUCAUGAGCUGAUGACUUUGUGUUAGUUUAAGACAUAGAUUAACUGUUCUCUUUUUAUCUUCAGGGUCUUGGUAAUCUAAGUAGCUUAAUUUAUUAAAAGUAAGCUUAUUAUGAAAGUAUUCAUAGAAAACUAACACAAAACGCGAAACGAAGUGAGCUUAAGUAGACCAGGGGGAAGGUUACCGGAAGGUAGUUGGACGCCCGAAGUGGUAUGCGUUGCAACGCAUUCAUAUGAGUUUAUUUAAGUGGCGAAAUACCAAUCGAACUUCGAAAUAUCUCGUUUUUUGCGAAACCUUUUUAGGAAGGGGGCCUGUAAAAUAAAUGCUAACUAGGUAGAGCGCUGUAAAACUGAUGGGAAGGAAACUUUUACUGAGGUGUUGCAAACCACAAAUUAGGAGCAUUUUAUUAGGUACUCAGUCAGUGCGGGACAAGCUGCAUUUGACAAGAAGGAAACAGCCUAGACUAUCAAUUAAGGCCCGAAAAUAGCACUAAGUGAGAAAGUAAUUGACUUCACAAAAAUUAGUAGGACGUUUGAUUAGUAGCAUCUACCGUUUAAAGAAAGCGUAAUAGCUCACUACUAUAGUUUAGUUGUUGCAAAAAUUUAGCCGGACUAAGCGCUAUGCCGAAAUUAUAGCUAACAGGAGCUUACUUCCGCGUAAGCCGGUUAGAGUAGCAAAACGAACCAUGUUGACAAAGUUAUGUCGGUAAGACUUAAUGAAAAUAUUGGUUGUGAAUAUAUCAGCUAGAGUAACAUAUAAAUUGAGACUUUCAAUAAAUAGCGUUAAUAUAAAAGCCAUAAACAAGAUUGAUAUAAAGCUCUAUUAACUUGAAAGAAUAUUAUCUCAAUGAUCGAAAAUCCUGGGUUUUCUACACAACUAUUAAAGAUGUAGUUAAAAAGGCGGUCCCUAAGUAAUAUUUAGGUUACGAUGGGUACCUGCUAUGCCCAAUAAAAUCUAGUAUGUAGAUCUGUUGCAGGAAAAAAUAGCAGGCAAUUUAUACAAAAAUUGUAAUAUAAUACAGUAAUACCGUACUAAAACUGACUCUGGUGGAUUUGUAGAUUUUACUUAGAUUUGGUUAUAAUCGUUCGUAAGGAACUCGGCAAAUUGCGCUGGUACUUUCGAAAACAGCGGUCUAAAAAACCUUUUAGAUCUCAGAUAAUAGAACUGGGUGACAGUUUACUAAAAACGAUGUUGCCUCAGGUCAUCCUAGAGCUGCACAAGGUUCUAAGGGCGCAACUGUUCUUUGCAUAAUGACCUACGUGAGGUGAGUUUAAACCGCCGUAAGGCAGGUUUGGUUCUAUCUAGAUAGCCAUAAUAUUUAACCAAGCACUAGAAUUCCACUGUACGAAAGGACCCGGAAUUCCACGCCAAUGGUUUAGCAAUUGUUUUGAAAAAAAGCACGGUUGCAACGCUAAGCGUGAAAUGUUAAUUGCUGAAAAACUAUCAAGCAAGAAACAAUUGUAAAGGUUAUAGAAAAUCGCAUUUGCGUAAAUAGGCGCGGGGUGUACGCUUUGCAAGAAGCUCAGCUACCGCGUACUAAUUUCUUUUUUU